GCCCUGACUGCCUAUCGUUUCCUUGAAACCAAUAUCACGAUUGGCUGAUUGAGCGCAGCUCACUGAUAGAGCGCUCUUCGCAUGCGUAAAGACUGGCACUAGUUUUCAUUGCCUUCAACUUUUGCUUUCAAAUUUCCGGUUGGAGGUAACCACUGCAGAACAUUGGCAAUGACCACCGAUCCGAUGGGUUUCAGACAGCUCAGCCAUUAUGGACAGCUCUGACAGCCAUUAUGGGAGGUGUGACAAGUCCUUAUUGGAUCGGAUGAAUCAGAAAUUAUUAAAUCAGAAAC